rnacentral:lncRNA from 1 species
AAACCCAACAAGACACGGCGCAUCAGUAGCAGCAAAUGCCAAAUUGGAGAUUGCCGUUGGUGUGAGGUAAGCGAAAACGCGUCCAAUAAAGUAAGAAGGGGUUAGUGUUGUUGUUCUGGCAAGGGCUUUUCGGUCAAUGAAAAAAACAAAACAAAGAAAAGGAGCAAAAGCUAGGCUAGCCUCCAUUAGAGAUGGUGAGGUCGCGGACGCGGACUCGGUG